UGAGAGAAUGAAACCUAUUGCUGUUGCUAGUUUCCAUGAACACGUUCAAGAGAUGCACGUUGACUCUGACAAAGGAUUUGAAAUGGAGUACAAGUCUGUUCCGAUGCAAACUGAGACGAGCUUUGACAUUGGAAGGAAUGAGGGUAACAAAA